GUUGACGGGUAUACACCCUUAGCUUCUCGUUUGGGUGUUUUAGCUCGAGAUGGGAACCUUAUGCCCCUCACUUAUAGAACUUGGAGCCAUGUACCGAAGGAAAACAAAGAGAGAAUUUGGAGAGAAGUAAAGGUCAAUACAAAUGCCGACGAGUCAAUGAAGAAAUUUAUUUUGGCAUCUGUUGGAAAAAAAAUGGAGAGAGUGGAAGGCUAGAGUUAAACAAAUGGGGUAUACGCCAUUCGACAACGAUGCUGAUAGGUUAACUCAUCGACCCAAAAGAGUACAUGAGCAUCAAUGGCGAAGCUUAGUCUAUUAUUGGGGCACUCGGAAGGCACAGGUAUCAUUUAAAUUGUUUAUUGAUCUCUAUCGUAAUCUCAUAAGAUGAGUUUGUUAAUUAAUAAAUUAUCUUGUGUUUGUGUUCAUAUGUAAUAGAAGAACAGUACAAAAAACAAAGAAAUUCGGAAGAAGAAGACAUUAAAUCACAUAACCGGCAGAAAACCAUUCUCAGUUGUUCGAGUAGAGGAAACUAAUAAGAAGAAUGGAGUUCCUGCAACUCGCUUAGAGGUGUGGAUGGCUGGGUACUCGAAGGAUAACAAACCAAGUAUUGAUAAAGUUGCUGCGGUCAUG